ACACGUCAACAACAAAUCUAUGGAUCACACCGAGCAUCUAAUGACAGCGACGUCUGAGCCAGCGGAUCAUUUCAUCAGGACAGGCCGAGGUCACGCUGCUCUGUGCCGGGCACAGUGAGCGCCGAGCGUCCGCAGAGGCGGAGCUUAUCACCUCCGACAAACGUCGCUGCCAAACUAUAAAUACGUCAUAUCUUCAUACACAAACCACAUGUUUGAUUUCUAAAUGACUCAUUUCUCGCCUCAAAUGAUGUUAAAACUUUGUUCCGGGACACAGAAAAAUAUUUAUUUCAGAUUUAUAUUUCUAUUACUUGCUGCUAUGCUCCGCCCAAAUGAAUUCUGGGAUACAUGGCCAUCGCAAGUACACUUAAGUUUUUUUUACUUGGUAAAAAUGGGCGGAGCGAGGACACUUCUGGGUUUGAGAACCGUCCUCGCUGUUCGCUUACUUGAGAAUUGGAACAGCACUUGGACUGAGGCUGAUGACGUUUUCACAAGUACGGGAGUACGCAAGUACGCACAAGUACGGGAGUACGCAAGUACGCACAAGUACGCACAAGUAUGGAUAUUGAGAAACGGCCAGACUCUCUAGCAGUGAUUGGAUACUUACUAGUUUGAGCCACGGCAGUGCUCUGCAGAUCAGCAGAGCCACACCCGGGAUUGUUAACGGUUAAAAACCUUUUUUAACCCACAAUGGCCGAAGGAGAGCUACGCGUUGAUUUGGUUGCUGAUAUACUGGCAAGGCCAUUUUCAAGAAGAACUUUUCAAGAGAAGCUAGAUCUCGUGAGAGGAGGACGGCCGACCCCUGAGCUAGCUAACCUGUCCCAGCCGGGGAAGGGUUCAUUGUCCUGGUAACUGUCAGGUGUGCUGCAGUUCCACCCAAUCUCCGUGGGAGACUGCCACAUAAAGGCGGGCGUAAAGCACCUGUCAGCCCCUUGCUUGCUGGAGGCUGGGUCGCGUCACUCCUGUGCUUCCUCCAUUUCCGCGUCCGUGUGGUUACAGGUGGGCUGCCGGCUGCACUUCUCACGUAUGUCGCCCAUCCAGUGCUAAUGUUAUUGUUUUAUAAAGGUCCACCUGGGUGUUGCUGCUGGCUGCGCGCUGUGUCCCGCUCUGUGUGCGCCGCGCUGUGUGCCGCUCACUGUCCGCCGCUGGUCGCUCUCGGGGAGCGUGAUUCCUCCGUCCCACGCUGUGUUGGCCGGGAUCGCCUGAUCGGACGACUGACCGUAACGGCGCAGCGCCGACUAAUCCGCUCCUAGAACCGCUGCUGCUUUGCUUCCGCUUUGUCUCUUCACUUCUUUGCCUCAUUUAAAGAGAUUAUUUGGACUGAUUGCUGUGCCUCAUUGGAACUGUGUGUUUGAAGAACUGAUCGCCUCGCUUGCAUCGGCAUUUGCCGCUCCGCCGGUCGCUUGGUAACGCGUCUCCGAUAGUUGGCGCAGCUUCAUCUUAAACUGUGCUGAGCCUACGGUGGUGGAUUGGUGUCCUGGUCACGGUGUCCCCUUUUUGUUGUGUUAGCACUUUGUAGCUUCUUUGUUUUGUUUACUUUUAUUUGCUUCACGUGUGGUGUUCCUGGGAUCCCCUUUUCUUUUGGAUACGGUUUAUCGCUGUAGGUCUCAGCACUGAUUGGUUCCCCUUAUAUGUCCCCUUACGUGAGUAAUUCUUUUAUAUUAUUUUUAAAAUAGAAAUUUGUGUAAAUAAAAGUGUUUUUGUAUCAUUGAACUGCCGUCUCUGUCUCGUUGCAUAACGAACCUCAGUGCCUUCCUUUAUUUGGGGUUAGUCCUCUUAUAAGAAAUCCCUGGGUGAAAUUCCCAGGGUGGCGUUGUCUGGCAACUAUUAAAUUUAUCGAUGCUGCCUUAAAAAGGCACCUCCCCAUACCUCGUGUCGCCACACUUACUUGAGUAUUGAGAAACGGCCUCUGUUUCCCUGUUUCAGUGCCAGUGUGUUUUCGUCCAUGCCUGAUCACUAGAGCUCCUCGUUACAGCCACAGAUGCCACAAGUUUUUGAUCCUCUUUGUGAGCGACGCUUUCUUUUGGGCUGGCGAAACCGAUCCAGGAGCAGCUGGUGCCGCUGGACCUGCCGACAAGCCUGGACGCCCUAAUUGCUCUGGCCAUCCGGACCGACAACAGACUCCACAAGCUCAGGCAGCGCGACGACCGACCACCACGCUCUGCAACGCCGACUGGGCUGGCGCCCCACCGAUCACCUCCCGAGCAGCCUCGAUACCCCAGGGAGGGAGUGGGAGAGCCCAUGGAGCUGGGGCGUUUUUUCUUGUCCCAAAUUUUUUUUCAAAUUAUUAAACACUGCCCUCAAUAUCAAGUUAGAACA